rnacentral:lncRNA from 1 species
UGUUGCUGAUUCUUUCGAAAUAGAUUGUAAACAGUGUGUCCAUAGAUCGCUGCCUCUGUGUUGUAAAUGUCUAGCCUCGGUCGUGUGCACUUGUUUUGAUUAUUUUUGUUGUUUAAAGUGGCUGUAGACUGUUUGUGUCAGGAGGGACCUGUGAAGGCCUGCUUUUGCCAUUGGGGGAGACUUCAGCCAGCCGUGAAAACGUAAAGACCUUCCGAAUCGAUGUUACUGCCUCCCAUCUAUUCCCCCAGAUCCUGAGAGUCGAGUAAAGUGACUUCUGCCAGAGAAUGUGCCACUUGGGCUUCCAAACUUCUCUGAGAAGCUGCUGCCUCUUGCAAGACACCAAGGCUGGAUCAACAAGUUAACCUUCAAAAAGAUUACAAAGGCAGUAUUGGUGUCAGAGAGAAGAACAUUUUGGACACAGUCCUACAUGACAUUCUCAUCAACAAACUAGAAGAUUAAAUUACUACAAGGUCGGUGCACACCUGGCAGAAAGAG